AUCUUUGUCACAUUGUAUGCGCGCCGCAUCAGACGGGAACCCUAAUUUCAACCACCUUCUCCACGCCUCCAUCGACGAAAAAUGGCCCGUUCUCAGGCGGUGGACGACACAAGGACUCCACUGAACCACAAAUCGGCGAAAACUCUAUGCGACGAAACCCAAAUUCCUCUACCUUCUAGCCACCUCCUCCGUCGUAAAUGGAGAAACAGAGGAGGAGGACGGUGCCUACACUCCAUUAAACACCAAAUCGGUGACGGCUUCACACCGAUUGCAGUUUGAAUUUCCUUCACAAUCCGAAGUCAUCGAAGGUUUUCUUCGAAACCUUACCACGUCGGCAGCAAAAAAACCUCUCUGAAACCAGGAAAAAGGAAUAGAUCUCAUAAUAUUGUAGCAGCUAUGAUUCUCUGCCACACACUUCAAAAUCGUGAUAACAAUGGGAAAGCAUAACAAAAUCAAAGCCGACAAAUCCAGAAAAAGGUGAUGAUGUACAUGGAUUGUAAAAAGAAGUGGCAGGAAAAGAACCAAGAAUGCAUAUAAACUGUAAAAUAAGGGACUGAUCUACAAAAAUAUCAAUCAAAGGAAGCAUGACUUGAAAAAAGAUGACAUGAGCAUGGAGGCAAUGGCAGAUUCAAGGAAUUAUGCUACUGAGAGGGACAUAAAAAAGGAAGAAAAGGAAAGUCAAGAAGAUGUGGUAACAAUAGGAAAACAGCCAAUAUUACAGAAAUGACAAAAUGGAAUAUCAAAAGGAAUAAAUGAAAACCUAGAGAGAUAGCAACCGCGUCUAUCAUUGAAGGAAAUAGAGAGAGAAAUAAAACUUGCUCUCUCAAUAAAAGAGAAGGAGAAAGACACAGAUCUGGAGCAGCAAACUCUCACAUUGGAGGAAAAGGAGAGAGACACAAAUGUGGUGACUGCUGGUGUCUAAACAAUGAUUACAAAAAAGCACAGGUGUGAUCCACGUAUGAACACCUAUGGAACUCUAGCAUGAAACAAACCGUAGGAAGAGAGGAGUUAUACAAAAGGAAAAAGGAAAAGCAUGCAUGACAUGUCAGACUUGGGGGGCUCAAAGCUAUUCUAUAUCAUCAUCACAUAACGGAAUAGGGACAAAUGGAUCAAUAUGAGCUUUGGAAAUAUGGGAAAAAUAUAUUGGUAAUAGAAUAGUAUAAAAUUACUACAACCUAUGUCGAUCCUACAAAAAGGGUUGUAAUCUAUCCCCCCCUCUCUCUAUAUAUAUAUAUCUCCAUCUCUCUCUCUAUCUCGGUCUCUCUCUAUAUCUAUCUUGCUAAUUUUUCAUGUUCUAUAAUUCUGAUUUUAUUAUCUAAGUUACUUAUUUUUAAUGCUGUAAAAUUGUCAUUUAAUUCUAUGAUGCUUAUAUCACAAGUUCUUCUUGGUA